rnacentral:rRNA from 1 species
AGUCUGGUGCCAGCAGCCGCGGUAAUUCCAGCUCCAAUAUUGUAUAUUCAAGUUGUUGCAGUUAAAAAGCUCGUAGUUGUAUUUUGAAAGGUGAUUCCCUGGGCGCGGGCAUUUUUGCACGUGUCCGGGGGCUGAAAUGCAGCGCGACGCGGUCGGGGCGCAAGCCCUGCACCGCCGCGCACGCGGCCUCUCUUUGUUGCCCUGCGGUUUUACAAACACGCGUUUCUUCUUCGGGAGGGCGCGUGUGGCGCAGGGACAGUUUACUUUGAAUAAAUUAGAUUGAUCAAGGAAGGCUUUGACGCCUGAAUAAUAUAGCAUGGAAUAAUGGAAUAGGACUGUCGUUUCUAUUUUGUUGGUUUCUAGAAGCGAAGUAAUGAUAAACGGAAGUGGUUGUGGCGGUCCGUAUUGCAAAGCUAGAGGUGAAAUUCUUGGAUUUUUGCAAGACGAACAACAGCGAAGGCAUUCCGCAAGAACAUUUUCAUUAAUCAAGAACGAAAGAUGAGGGAUCGAAGAUGAUUAGAUACCGUCGUAGUCUCAUCCAUAAACGAUGCCAUCCGACAAUCGGCAGAAGAUCAUUCCAAACGUCUUUGCCGGCGGUCCGCGAGAAAUCAGAGAUUUUGGGUUCCGGGGGGAGUAUGGUCGCAAGAUUGAAACUUAAAGGAAUUGACGGAAGGGCACCACCAGGGGUGGAGCUUGCGGCUUAAUUUGAUUCAACACGGGGAAACUUACCAGGUCCAGACGUUUGAAGGAUUGACAGGUUGAUAGCCCUUUCUUGAUUAAUCGGGUGGUGGUGCAUGGCCGUUCUUAGUUGGUGGUUUGGACUGUCUGCUUAAUUGCGAUAACGAACGAGACCUCGAUCUGCUAAAUAGGCUUGCCGUUUUUCGGAACGGUCCACCCGCAAGGGAAGCCUUCUUAGCGAGACAGCCUGUUUCUAGCAGGAGGAAGAGCGAGGCAAUAACAGGUCUGUGAUGCCCUUAGACGUUCUGGGCUGCACGCGCGCUACAAUGCGAUCAGCAGCAAGUGACAUCUGGGGUUGAAAUCCCAGUCCUGCGCCGAGAGGCGCGGGAAAUCUUUGAAAUGGUCGCGUGAUUGGGCUAGAGUAUUGCAAUUAUUACUCUUCAACGAGGAAUCCCUAGUAGGUGCACUUCAUCAGAGUGCUCCGAUUAUGUCCCUGCCCUUUGUCCACACCGCCCGUCGCUCCUACCGAUUGAAGCCACAGGAGAGGAUUCAGGAGGAUUGCGGGCUGGGGCAACCCGCCUGCGAACCGAAUCUA